rnacentral:rRNA from 1 species
GACAGAGGGUGCAAACGUUGUUCGGAAUUACUGGGCGUAAAGCGCGUGUAGGCGGCCAUGCAAGUCGGAUGUGAAAGCCCUCGGCUCAGCCGGGGAAGUGCACUCGAAACUGCAAGGCUAGAGUCUCGGAGAGGAUCGUGGAAUUCUCGGUGUAGAGGUGAAAUUCGUAGAUAUCGAGAGGAACACCGGUGGCGAAGGCGGCGAUCUGGACGAUGACUGACGCUGAGACGCGAAAGCGUGGGGAGCAAACAGG